UAUGUUGUGUAUUAAUGGCUUUUCCAUAACAGAGAAUAAUUUAUAGCACCAGGUUGACCAAAAGUAUAAUUUAUUUUACAAGACAUUUAAAAUGUAACACUUAUUAAAAAAUUGUUUCAAAAGAAGAAAAAAAACACUUCAGCAAUACAUGUAGUUCACUAUAUGCUAUGUUCAUCAUUUUUUUGUUUGUUAUUUAGUUGGUUAUUUGUAAGCAAUAGGCAUUAUUCAAUAAGAAUUACCUAAUGAUUUAUUAUGGACAGUGGAAAUGGGAUGUACAAACAGCCUACAAGCCCUGAUUCUUACAAAGUGAUAUACAGAAUAAUUGUUUAUACAGAAGGUUGUAACACAUUUAUAAGUUUUGCCUGAGAAGCAAAAGUUGUUUAAUUUACAUUCAAAUGAUAGAUUUAAUUGAUUAAAAAAAAUAUAUAAUAUUUGAAGAGAAAGCCAUUUUCUUAUCACUGUCUCUGGUAAAUAACCUAUAGAAAAAAUUCUACAUAGAAGCGUAUAAGUUAUGAAUAGUGAAAAUUCAGAAAUUAUUUUGUGCUUUUAUUAUUGUAAUUUUUAAAGAAUUGUGAGAUGAAUGCGACUUAAAUUAUUGCGAUUUUGAAAAAAUCUGAAAACAGGUAUUUGUUUUAUUGACCAUAAAGGGAGUUCUUAUUAUCGAGACCAACCAGCUGCAUUAUUCCCUUUUAAUAAUAAAAACCUCACAAUAAUCUACAAAAUUGAAAUGAAUUUACAAUAAAUGAACAAUAGUUGUCUUUUCUUGGUGUGUGGUGUUCAAGGUUGUAGUUUUAAAAAACUUUAACAUUUUGUAAGUGAAUGUAGUUCAUGGCUGUGCCAUACUAAAUAAUUUAGUGAUAUAGUAGAUUUUCGUGGUAUUUUGAAUUCUACAUUUUUACAUUAUAAUUUUAACCAUUGUGUUGUAAUUGUAUUAAGGGGAAUGACACUCAUUUGGGGAAGAAGGGGAGUGAAAAAAAACAGGGGAUGUGUGAUAAAGGGGAUUAAAACGUGAGAAUGUUGGAUACUGAGGGUUGGGGAACAAUUUGAAGCUGGGAAAAAAGGGGGAAAAGUGGGAAGUAUAAAAAAACAGACAAAAAAUUGGGAUUUUGGAAAUGAGCACCUUUUGUGUCAUCCCCCUCUUGUAUUACAUUUUUGUGAUAAUAUGGAUAUUGUCUCAAUGCUUAAUUAUUAUUUUAUAACUAACAUUUCACCAAUGAUUAGAAAACAUGUAAGGGGUCAUCCGUAAUUGUCAACCAUUUUCCAAAGUGUACAAAACGUACACUUUUUCAGAAUCAAAAAGUGUACAUCAACCAUAUUCAGAUUUCAAGACAAGAAGCAAUCAUUUUUAUUAAAAAAAAUAUCCUGUCUAUCAUAGUUUAGUUUAAUAUAGAAAUUUGCAUUGAAAAAAACUGAAACAUUUCUGACUGUUUUAUACAGUGAUAAAAAAAAAGUGUACGGUAAAAAUGUUGAUUUUUUAACCCCCUCCCCCAAGUGUACGUUUUGUACACUUCGGAAAAUGGUUGACAAUUAUGGAUGACCCCUAACUACACAUGUUAAACAUUGUAAAUUGACCAUCAUUCAUAUAUAUGUGUACAGAAUCACAUGAAAGAAUUGGAAUAUCAGAUAUCUGUGUUAGCCUUAAGGAGGUAGACCUAGGUUAAGGGAGAUAACUCUUUAAAUCAGUCAAGCGUUUGUAUAAGUCAAGUUCACCAAUGUAUUUUAAGCAUUUACCUGAAACAGAUUGAAAAUAAUCUAUGUAACCUAGAAGCUUAGAAUAUGUUUUUGAAAAUGGUUGACACAAACGUACUGAUGAUUUUAAGAGUUAUUUCCCUUAACCUAGGUCUACCACCUUAAGUUAGUUCUGAUACGUUUAAAAAGUAAACCAUUAUUAUAUGAUAAUAAAAAAAAAGCUGCUUCAUAUGAAUUUUAAUAAUCAUCUUUAUUGAUUAUUAAAAAUUAAUAUUUGUGUUUGUUAUAAAACAAGUUAUAUUUCUUAUUCUAAUCAUCAUGAUUUUUUUAAAUAUUUUAUGUGCAAUAUUUGUUUGUAUGUAUAUAGAAAAGCUUUAUAAAUGUUUUAGAUUAUAUUGGUGCAAAAAAGGUAUACACACUGAAAGGAAAAUCCUUAUUAUUUUAACAAUUUCAUGAAUAAAUUUUUCUAUAUAAUGAACAGUUUAAUUUAAAAAACUGAUACAAUAAAAGACAACUCCUCUUAUAUAUUUGUGUUCCAUUUUCACUUAUUAAUAUUUUUCAUUUCAUCUUUUAGAACUUCUGUUAAAUUCAUACAAAUACAAUUAUUUUUGUAAAAAAUGAAAUGAGGUUUAUUGGUCUUAAGAAUAUUUUAUUUAGCAACAAGACAUCUAUUAUCCAUAUGAAACCAAAAUUAUCUUUAAUCUUUAAAAAUAUGUUUUAGAUUAUUUGAUAACGUGUAAGGUAAGCAUUUUUAAAUGCUAGCACCAGAAUCUUGCAAUAUUCUAUACUUUAUGUUUGGCUUCAUACAAAUACAUAAUAUCAUUUUAUGAUAUAUGAUAAUUAUUAGGAAUACUUAUUGCUCAGCUGCAAAAUCAUGACUAAUUUUUAAGAAGACUUUUUGAAUUACAAAGACUUUUAUAUAUACAUUUAGCAGUAUUUUAUAUCAUUGCACAUGCCAUUUUUGCAUAAUUUCGAAAUGUGUGGUAAAUGUCUUUGAAAAGGGACUUUAAAUCUUAAUAUUUGAUAUUUUAAGUCUAUUUAUUUCUUGUGAAAUCCUAAUAGUAAAGAAAAGAUAUUUCCAGAGCAUAAGUAAAUUUUCAGUUAUAUUUGUAAACAUGAUCAGAAGAAUAUUGUCUAUACUUCAUGAAGCAGAUGUAUAAAACUUUCUUAUGACAGAUAUUGCAAGGGGUUCCAAUUUCAUGUCAAACCAUGAAAUUUGAAAAAGUCUGCAAUUUGAAAGUUAAAAUGAGUAUAAUUUUAUGAUUUAUUGAAAAUUACUGAUGAUUUUAUAAAAGAAACUUUGUAUUAAAUAUUUUGUGCAAAUUUUUUAAAUUUCAGUUUUCUAUGAAAUUAUCAUUUUAAAAAUGAUAAUUUUGGAUUUAUAGAUGAAAUUACUUUUUUUACACAAUACAGGUUGUACAUUAAACACAUUAAUCUAACAUUGUAAGUCAUUUAAUUGUAUUGUCCAUUCAUAUUUUGUUAAUAGUUUUUUGAUAGACUGUGUAGUCAUUAGUUUUACAGAGAAACAAGAUAAAUAAUUUUAUAUUAUGUUGUCAUAAUCG
rnacentral:lncRNA from 1 species